UACGUAGGGGGCAAGCGUUGUCCGGAAUCAUUGGGCGUAAAGCGCGCGCAGGCGGUCCUUUAAGUCUGAUGUGAAAGCCCACGGCUCAACCGUGGAGGGUCAUUGGAAACUGGAGGACUUGAGUACAGAAGAGGAAAGCGGAAUUCCACGUGUAGCGGUGAAGUGCGUAGAGAUGUGGAGGAACACCAGUGGCGAAGGCGGCUUUCUGGUCUGUAACUGACGCUGAGGCGCGAAAGCGUGGGGAGCAAACAGG
rnacentral:rRNA from 1 species